GAGGCCUAAGUGGUUAGAGUGUCUGCCUUGGAUGCAGGAAGUCAUGGGUUCAAACCCUGGCAGAAUCA